UACGAAGGGGGCUAGCGUUGCUCGGAAUCACUGGGCGUAAAGGGUGCGUAGGCGGGUCUUUAAGUCAGGGGUGAAAUCCUGGAGCUCAACUCCAGAACUGCCUUUGAUACUGAAGAUCUUGAGUUCGGGAGAGGUGAGUGGAACUGCGAGUGUAGAGGUGAAAUUCGUAGAUAUUCGCAAGAACACCAGUGGCGAAGGCGGCUGACUGGUCCGGUUCUGACGCUGAGGCGCGAAAGCGUGGGGAGCAAACAGG
rnacentral:rRNA from 1 species